rnacentral:ncRNA from 2 species
UUCAAUAUUGCGAUAACAGGUGAGAAUGGUUGCAUUCUAAAGAGGGAAUCCGGUGAGAAUCCGGAACGAACUGGUCACUGUAAGCAGGAGCGAACUUCAAGAAACCAUUGCAUGUACAAAAUGUGAGAAGGGGAAGGAAACGAAGAACUGUAAGUCAGGAAACCUGCCUGUUAUUUGAGAUGUGC